GGCUCCUAUCUUUUUUUUUUUUGAAAAGCAAGCAAGCAAGCAAGCAUGGUACCGGCUCCACCCACGAGAUUGUUCUCCUGUUCUUUGUUUUCCCAAAAUACACACAGGUGCUGCUGUUAGGAUGACAAGGUAGGAGGGGAAAAAAUUAACGUAUCCGACAGAAGCAGCGGAGCGCAUCGUCUGAGAAAGAAACGAUGGGCAUUCAAAAAUCGCAGGUAGGUAGUAAGCAUGCCGUUGCAAAAUUGACGGAAUCCAUUUACUGUUCGAUUCGGAAAAACAAUCAGAGAUUAUUGAUUCAUCUAUAUUACUAGAUAGUAGUAAGCGAUUUGUUGGUGAGCACUCUGAUGAUCAAACGUGUAAUCAUCACCGUGAUUGAGGAGGGGGAAAAUAUAUAGAGGGAAGCAGACGGAAGGCGGAACACGCGUACGUACCUCGACCGGAGCCGGCGCCGGCGCGGGGGUGGCGCUGACGACGUCGCCGUCGCCGUCGGCCACCCCGCUGUCGGCGGAGGAGGCGAGGCGGAGGUCGUCCGUGCUUGCGGUGGAGUUGCCGGUGGAGAAGGCGGAGAUGUCGGCGAGGCGCCUGGUGGGGCUUGCGGACAUGAAGAAGAGGACGCAGACGGUUGCCAUGGCAGCGCCGAGGACGAAGGAGACCAGCGGGCUAAUGCUGCUGACGUCGCCGCCCUUCAUCCUGGCGGCCGAUUUGGUUGGACUGGGUGCGUGGUUGUUUGAUGCCGGCGAGGAGGUGAUGGCGAGGGCUUUUUAAGAGACGAGAGGAGGGAGGGGGGGGAGGGUUUGUUUGUUGGGCUCGUGGGGCUUUGCCUGGAACUAGACGUGCUGCAAUUGCUCUCUCCC
rnacentral:lncRNA from 1 species